rnacentral:rRNA from 1 species
ACAUCGCCUUUUGACCAACUAUAAAAGGUCCAGCCUGCCCAGUGACAUAGUUAAACGGCCGCGGUACCCUGACCGUGCGAAGGUAGCAUAAUCACUUGUUCUCUAAAUAAGGACUCGUAUCAACGGCAUCACGAGGGUUAUACUGUCUCCCCUCUCUAAUCAGUGAAACUGACUUCCCCGUGAAGAGGCGGGGAUACAACUACAAGACGAGAAGACCCCAUGGAGCUUUAAACCCAAUAACAACUCAUACCAAUCACACCCUAAAAAUCAAAGAGAACUGUUUAUUGGUUUUAGGUUGGGGUGACCACGGAGUAAAACUAAACCUCCGAGACGAACGGUUUAUCCUAAUCCAAGAGCCACCGCUCCAAGAAUCAAAAAUUUGACGUAACAUGAUCCGGCAACCGAUCAACGAACCAAGUUACCCUGGGGAUAACAGCGCAAUCCAUUUCAAGAGCUCCUAUCGACAAAUGGGUUUACGACCUCGAUGUUGGAUCAGGGUAUCCCAGUGGUGCAGCCGCUACUAAAGGUUUGUUUGUUCAACAAUUAAAACCCUACGUGAUCUGAGUUCAGA